GGCCGGCACGGGGCUGGCGCCGCGCCGCGUUCCGCUGACUGACGGCUUGCUAUGGAUUUAAUUCCAUCUGCCUUUGAUUCAGCUCGGAGGGCUGCGGAGCACGGCGGCUGCAGAGCACUCGCGCUGCGGAGCGCCCCGCACCGCGGGAAGGAAGGGAGGGAUGCUGGAGGGAAUUUGGUUUUAAUUUAGUCUUAGGGAAUUUAGUGUGUCUGACAAGACCAAAUCAUGUUAUUUGGCAUUUUUGGAACAAAUAGUGGCUUUUCCCCAGCACUUUUCUGUUAAAUUCCCCGUCCCCCCCCCGUAGUGGCACUGUAAACAAAUUUUCCCUCGUUUCUUUGAGAAUACUUUAUCUUUUGGUCAUAGAUUAUUAACGCUUUUAUUUACGCUUUGCUACUAUUUUUAGUGCCUAUUGCGUGAGAACAAUGAAAGCAGGAGGAUGUCAUGUGGUUGUGCAACAAUGCAGUGUGGAGCUAGACUUUCGCCCUCGAGUUCAGCAUUAAACACCAAAAACCAAUACUGGCAUUGUGAGCAUUGUGAGGCUGAUGAUGUUUGAACUGCAAAUCCAUGACUUGACAGAAAGUGUAUUCAAGCAGAUGUAAACAUAAUCUCAUUUUUGCCCCCAAAGUGUAUUGUGGUCAGUGAGUGUACAUCAGUAGUGGGUCUUUCUGGAUGUUUUAAGACUGGUACACAAAAAGCUGCAUAAUCAAGAGAAGACAGAUAAUAUUUCUUUAUACAUUUGCAUGCAGAAACCACAGGCUGUGUCAUACACUUAAGCAGAGGAUGUCUGUCAGCCCAGCUGAGCCGGGGACCUGUGGCCACAGCCACGUGUUGCUCAGUCUUAUCAAGUGUAAAAAAUGUGAUAUUUUUUUCUUGCAUAAACCAGAACAUUUAAAUACGGAAUGUUGGUUAUCCAGUGGAUCAGGCUAUGGCAUGCAUAGCACCACAGAUCAAGGGUCUACACACAUUUUCAUACAUUUCAUAUGUCCAUCCCACACCGAUUUUGUUCCAUCUCACAAAGCUUUUGUGGAUGCUAUCACACAACAAGACUUUACUGCAAACAGCCAGGCAAGUAAGACAUUGUGUUUAAGUAACACGCAUAGGAAAAUGUUUCAGAGUGUAGAACCAGCAACAUUAAGGGGAAAACUGAAGCAAUUGUGUGCAGCCAGACAAUUGCCCCUAAAAUGAUAAUACAAAGGUAACUGUGCUAUGAUUUAGAGGACCCUGGAGAUAUAGAUAACUGAUGAUACUUAAAGUUUUCAAUUAUUAUAAUUAAUCAAUAUGUAAACCAAGAAACAGGGCAGAACUCCAGGCUUUGGAGAGGAUGUUUCCCCUUGACAAGAAGUACUUCUGUGGCUGGAAAACCAGUCAGCACCCCCCACCUUCCACUCAAUGAUGCAGUCAGUGUGAUGUGAGCUCUCCCGAGUCUGAUUUUGGCUGGGGAUGGUCACUUGUGUCACUGACAGCUGCAGUAGAAUUGAAGGGAUUCUUCAGCUUUCCAAAAUAAUGAAAAAUCAGGGAGAUACAAUAGUGCUGCUUCUCAGAAGGCUGCCCUUCCCACUUGUUGCUUUGGGAUUAUCUCAGGUAAAGAACUGGUUAUAUGUUGGAAAGGGAAUUUUUCUCGGAAGUUUGCUGUGGCAGGAUUCACCACCAGGUGGAGAUUUUUUGCAUCAACGAAGCGCUCUUUUAGUUUUUAGCACAUAAACCAUCUUUGCUAAGAAUUAAUGUUAUUUUUCUUUCUGUUACUUGAAGUACCUUCUGGUCCAGGUCAGAGCAGCCUGUGGAACAGAGAACCUUCGUCAACCUCAGCCUUUUUGCAUUUGCUGACAUUUCUGCAAGAGGCAGUUCCCUGAAGCUAUUCCUGUUUCUAUUUUAGGUUUAACUGCCUAAAUUCACACCUUUCCAAGAGCCCAUUUUUCCCCACGCAGCCUCCGUGUGUUUCUGAUGUGGACAUUUGAUCACAGGCAGAUCUGAAAUACGUCAUGAGAUUUUGUAACUGCCCUUACAUAAAGAAACGUCAGCUGACAUUUUAUCUGCUUUUGGUCACCAGCUGCAACUCACAUUAAGAGGCAGUCCUGACUAUACUUUGGGAUUUAUUUCUCAUCCUGACCUCCGGUGUAGAAGAGGUAAAUCAUACAAGCCCAACAGAAAACAAUCAGCUUGUCUGGUUCUGUGGUUUCCAGGAGCUGUGGAAACUCUGUGCUGGUUGCCUCUCUGUUCAUUAAGUAAAUGAGGGCUUUGCAGCGUU